AAUUGAAAGGUUUGUUUACAAAGUGCAUAAUAAAUCGCGGAUUUACGGAAUUAUUUAGUUUUAAAUGCGGCUCAUCUGGAUGAAAUGAAAAGGCUGUUAGAUGUAAUGCAGGAACGUGCUCCCGAUGUUGAACAUCAGUUCAAAGAAAAGUCAAAUGAGUUGGAAAUGGCGCAGCUUAUCAUACGCCAGUUGUCGGAUAAGGCCAAUGUAAACCAAGGCGGCAAUCGUAUAGAGACCUUGACGUAGACGCAAUUUAUGUACGAGGAACAGAUUAGAGACUUACAAUCUAUGGUGCAGGAAUUUAUGAUGGUCACAAAAUAUAUUGGCAAAAACAUAGCAAGUGCAUAUGCCAAGUUGGAAAAAUUGACAAUGCUGGCCAAAAAGAAGAGUCUUUUUGAUGAUCGACCGCAAGAGAUUCAAGAAU
rnacentral:lncRNA from 1 species